rnacentral:lncRNA from 1 species
CUCAGGACCUUGCACUUGUGAGGCAGGCGUGGCGCCACUGAGCUAAAUCCCCAGCCAGUGUAUUUAGUUUUUUAAAAAGUUACUGGAGAGGGCCGGGGAUUUAGCUCAGUGGUUUCGCUGCCUGCUGCGCAAGCGCAAGGACCUGAGUUUGAUUCGUGAUACCAAAAAAACCCAAACCAAACAAAAAAAGUUAUUGGAGGAAAGAAGGUGCUGAUUCAGACCAAUCAGAAGAUGGUAAGCAGCAUUUUAAUGCAGUUUUAAAUUUUUUAGCCUAAAAAAUAACUAAUGGUGACGAGUAUGUAGCUCAGUGGUAAAGUGCUUACCUAGUGUUCAUGAAGCCCUGGGUUUCUUUUGCAUUCCCAUCCCUAAAAAUUUAAUAUUGAAAACUAAAGAUACAAAAGGCAUCUUUUAGUCUGUCAGAUAUUUGUUCGGUAGAUUUUCAGAAAUUGACCAGUUUCGUAAACCAAAGAGAAAUAGUGUAAAUAAUACAAGAGCAAGUAUGGGGAUUUGAAAAUGCUAUGUCCACUUUUAAAGUACAGCCCAGAUUAUUUAGUAGUAACUAGUAAAAGUUCACUCAAAUUCAGAUUUUCAAACUUAUUUAGCACUUUUUAAAAAAAGUUACUUGAAUGUUCAGUUUAGAUUUAAAAAUAAGGGCUCAGUUCAUGGAGCUAUAUAUGAGCUAUAUAUGAUAUUAGAAUGCUUUUAUCAUUGUUAUUUAUUUAUUUUUAUUUUGGUACUGGGGUUCAAACUCAGGACCUUGUGCUUGUGAGGCAGGCGUGGCGCCACUGAGCUAUAUCUCCGGCCCUUUUAUUAGUAUUUUUUUUCUUUUAUUAGUAUUUUUGAAUAGGGAAGAGAACAGUAAUUGUUAUAAAACCAUAACAGUGAUCUGGGUUGCAGCUUAGUGUUAGAGCACAAACUUAGCAUGCACAAAGCCUUGGGCCUAAUCCCCUCCCCACUGAAAGAAAAGAUUCUGUUGACAUUUUCCUUUGAAAUUUUGUUAGCCUUUGAUCCAGGCAACUUCUGCAGCUCCAGUCACUGUUCUGCAUCGCUACACAAAGGGAAGGUGGAAUAAAUACCCUUCUUUAGAAUAACUUCCAAUCACUUUAUGUCUUACACUCAGCUGGUGACCAUAUUUCUAAAGUUCACUCAUGGGACCAAAAAAUAGGAAGAAAGAGAGUGGUGACCAGAUAAUCAUUGGCUUUUUGUUUUUUUUUAUUUUUUGGUACUGGGGAUCGAACUUGGGUCCUUGCUUUUGCACAGCAGGAAGUGAAACUACUGAGCUAAAUCCCCGUUCUGAUAAUUUAUUUUUAAAGUAAUAAUUCCUUGUACUAUGGAUCUGUCUAGAUUCAACACAGAUUUUUUUUUUCCCCCCUUAAGUUCCAGGAGCUUGUUGCAGCAUUUUUUUUUUUGGUACCAGGGAUUGAAUUUGGGUCCUUGCGCUUGCGCAGCAGGUGGUGAAACCACUGAGCUAAAUCCCCGGUCCUUUGCAGUGUCUUUUUAAAGAAAAUGAGAAGAAUGCCCACAAAUGUUAGGACAGAAUUAUGGAGGGAAAAUACUUUCUCAAAUUAAAAAUGGACUGGAGGAUACAGCUCAGCAGUAAAUCACUUGCUUAACAUGCAUAAGGCCCUCAGUUUGAUCCCCAGCACUAUGGCAGAAAAAAUGAAAACUGAAAGGUUGCGGGGAAUGGAGUAAAGAUCAGCGCUGGGAGGCAGAGGAUGUGGUAUAAAUAAGCAUUGAUUUGUAGUUUUGUUUCUAUGUAGAUUACUUACAACUAACGUAAAAUGAAUGUUUGAUUUCUUGAGCAUGCAGAUGGUGAAGGAUGGAAAGCCAACCUGGAGGCACAAAUUUCAGCAGAUGCUCUGCUUCCAGGUAGUGGAAGUGACUUAUUUUCUUUUUGUGGUUCUGGGUAUUGAAGCCAGGACCUCACCCAUGCUAGGCAAAUGCUCUAACACUGAGCUACAUCCCAGACCUAGUAUAAAUGAUUUUUUUCUUUUCAGUACUAGGGAAGGGGAGAGAGCCAAGGUCCUCUACCACUGAGCUAUGUCCCCAGCCCUUUUUAGUUUUAUUUAUUUUUUCUAUUUUGAGACAGGGUCCUGCUAAAUUGCAGGCUGGACUCAAACUUGUGAUUCUCCUGCUUGGCCUCUCAACUAGCUGGGAUUACAGGCAUGCAUCACUAUACCCAGCCUUCAAAAAUGACUUUUUAACAGUGCUAAUAUCUUCAAUCCAAAAGCAACACCAUCUCCAUCCAAAGGGAAUCUUUAAAUCUCAAGAUGGAUCACCUUCACCAUGAUUAGACUGCAGAUAGAAUAAGGCCUCAUGAAGAUAUUUUUGGUGGCUUUAAAUUGUUGGGAACAGAUACAUAGAGAAGAAACUGCAACUAUGCUCUUUUUUUUUCCUGGUUCCUCAGUCUCCUGAUAUAGUUAACAUUUCACAACUAAAAUAACCUUAAUGAACACUUGAUUAUACUUUUUUUGAAGAUACAUUUCAUGACCUCAGACUGCAGAAACUGCCAUCUCCUAGGCACAGUUUACAUUUGAUCCUUUGCUUAUGUCCCGAGAGCAUCGCAUAUUGGGAGACAUUGCUUUUAUAAAGGCAGUGGCUGCUGGGCCUGGUGAUGCACACCUAUAAUCCCAGCACAUAACAUCAGUGGCCAGCUUGCCUCAGUGUUAAUAAGGACCAGCAUGCAGGUUCAGUUUUGCUCUUCACUUUGGUCCUGAAUUGAGAGCUGAGUCAAGAGAAGUCAGCAGGUCUGCUCAAAAAUGUACGGGUCUUGGGGCCAGAGAUGUAGCUCAGUAGUUCCACUACCUGCCUCACAAGCACAAGGUCCUGAGUUCGAUCCCUGGUACAAAAAAAAAAAAUGUAUGAGUCUUUUUUUUUCCCCAAAAGACAGAUUAUUAUUGAGCCCACUUCGGUCAAGGAGCACUGAAUAUUGUGUUAAAAUAGUACUUUACUUCAUGCUUGAAAUUAACAUUUUAAAGAAUCAUGUAAAUAGUUUAAAGGUAGCUGGAUUUAUUGUAGCCAAAUGAGAAAUACAGCUGUUAAUGAGAGGGCAUAACUUGUGUAGUUCUUAAUUAUUUACAUCAUUAGAGAAACACAAAUAUGACUAGUUCAGAGCAAUUUAACUUUGCAGUGAGAGUUUCUGCGUACCUUUAUAUGUGGGGAUAGCUGAGAUCCUUGGAAUUUACUUUGAGUGAAUGAUGGAAAUACCCGAGAAAACGUAGUGCUAGGACCUCUACUUUUUCUCAGGUCCAGUCACCAACUUCCUACAAACCAGGCAUGAAGAAAAACAAAAAAUAAAUUCUCCAGAAAAUAGGAUGCUUCUCUUCACCCAGGCACAGGUAUAAAGGGUACAUUUCUCAGGGCUCCCUUCUUUACUUUGAGUCUCUUAAGAGGUAUUUGAGAUGUCAGUAAGCUAAAAUUAAAUGUAUUAAUAUGGGAAGAUUGAAAUAUCAACAGAAAUGUUUGAUAGUAUAGGUGUUAUCAUUUACCUUGAAGGUAAAAUUUAUGCUGGAAAACAAGUCUGAAGGAUGAUCACUUUCAAAAUACAAACCUGGAAACUUAACCAUCAUUGGCUACUGUAACAACAAAAUUGCACAAACUAGGAUAUGUUAGAGCAAAAGUCUACCCAAGUCUGGUUUUUAACAGCUCUAAUCCAGGGUGCUUCUCAACUCUGUAACAAACAGUAUUUUAUUUUUGCCUUAUUUCCAGAUGCCAGCUUUAACACAUAUGCUCUACCCUAUUUUGAGCAGUGUAUUUUUGCUUUGAAAGGAAACUUGAAUGUGCAUUUUGUCUUCCUUUGAAUUACUUUUUGGGGCGGUCGUACUGGGGAUCUAACUCAGGACCUUGGCAGGUGGCGGAAGCACUGAGCUAAAUCCCCAGCCCUUGAAUGUUACUUUUAAUUGAACAGUAAGAAACUGAGCUCAGCAUUGACAGUCAGACUCUUAACUAAAUUUUCAACUUUUUCUGAGGUCAUCCUAAAUGAUUCCUUUUGUUUUUUUGUACCUGAGAUCGAACUCAGGACCUGUGCUUGCAAGGCAGGCAACGGCACCACUGAGCUAAAUCCUCAACUCCUUUCUUUUCUUUUUUAAAUUUAAUUUUGCUUUGUUUUUCUUUAUAAAGUGAAGAGUAUAUAACACGAGUCCCUUUUGCCCUGUACUAGUACAGUCUGGCAUCAGGAGCAGUAGUUGUUGCUCUUCUGAUUUUCAUUAAUGAAGUUUUAUGGGUUGGAAGAUCUAUUUUAUCCAGUGUUGAUUCUUUAAUUGGGCACUAUAAGUAAAUUCACUUGCUAUCCUGCUUAGUAUUUUAUAUUGAUAUUUUAUAUUUUAUAUUCCUUCUACUUCAGGAAUGGUAACCUAGGAAUAGCAACUGUGGAGUUGAAGGAUACUUUGAUCAUACUUUAAAUAACAGACAUUUUGAGGGUUUUUGGCUUUUAUAAAAACAAAACUCAGGAUCAUGUUCAUAGUUUUUUCAUUGCUUGUUGUUAGUGUUUAUUUAUUUAUUUAUUUUUGGUACUGGGGAUUGAACUCCGGUCCUUGUGCUUUUGAGGGAGGCGGUGGAACCACUGAGCUAAAUCUCCGGCCCUACUGUGUUUAUUAUUAAUGGAUUAAUAUCCUGCCCUUGUUCUUAAAGUAAUUUUAUAUGCUAAACUUUUGUUUUGUUUUCUAGCUUCUAAGAUAGAUAACAGUUAUUGCAAAGUACAUGUUUUUAAAUGAUCUCCAGUGUGGAUUGCUUCUGAGCCACUGAUGGAAUGAGUACUCCCGGAAGGAAUGUAUCAUUUGGAAUCCAGAAUCAUUCAUCAAGGAUAACUGCCUGAUCCUAUGAUUUCGUGACUGACGCUGAAAUGGAAGCCAACUGAUGCUGAAAUUUGGGGGAAAAUUACAUCUGAAGAAUGCAAGAGAAAGUAGGAAUUCAUUUCUAGCAUUCCCAAACCUGCCUUGUAUUGUCUACUGUACUAUAGUCAGAGGACAACAACUGAGUUCAUGGAAUUUGCCAGCUAAGCCUUACAACUGUCUUAAAUGUUCUUAGGAAAUACACUGAAAAGGUAAGUGAAUUGUCCAUUUAGAAGAAAGACUAAUAGGUAUUUUUAAGUCAGUUGUUAUAUUUUAAUAAAGACAGGGAGCUCCUUUAUUCCAAACUUCAAAGUCGUGCCCCUACUGGGUGACUUCAGUACUGUGGCAAACGUGGAGUUGUUCAACCAGCCUGGAGCUUUUCCUCUACUCAGCUACUAAGCCAGAACAUGCGUUGAAGUGCAUAGCAUGCUAAUUUCUGUUGUCUUGUUGUGCUCAAAUCCUUUUUUUUAAAAAAUUACUUUGUUUCAGAUGAGAUUUAGUUUUAUCACUCAGUAUAUAGAAAAGAGUGUUUAAUGUUUCAAAGAUUCAGCAUUACAUUUGCAUUAGAUAGAAUCAAGAAUAAAUUAAGGGUUUUAAAUGAUUUCUGUUAAUACCUACUUAUAUUAGUUUUGUGGAUUAUUAAAAAAUAUUAUUACAUUUAUUAUGUUCCUGUGUGAUAGGUAUUGUGCCAGGCCCUGGAAUACAGAGGGACUAGCAUGCACAGUUUAUGUCCUUUGUUCAUACAAUACAGAUAGCAUUCUGGUUUAGAGAAUCAAGAUAUGAUAUAAAAAGGCUAAUUCCAUUUUCUCAUCAAUAAUUUACUCUGAUAACUACUAUGUUAACUUAGCAUAAUAAAUUCUUUAUGAAAGUGUCUUCGUUUGUGUGUUUAACAUUUAUUAAAUACUUUGUGCCAGGUAUUGUGUUAAACUCUUUACAUAUAUUUCUUUACUCAUAUCUCUUCUUUGAGGUAGGUACUAUUACUAAAACUCAUUUUCUAAGAAAAGUAGAGAAGCUAACUAACUUAACUUGUGCUGAGUUUGCCUACCUAUGAUCUGGGACCAAUAUUUGGACCCAGGUAAGCUAAUUCCAGAAUCUACACUCUUUCUUUGGGUAUGAUGUUGAUAUGCAGUACCUGGCUAUGAGUAUCCAUAAACCAUUCCAAACUCUUAAUAGAAAUUUUCCCUAAAUUCUUCUCUAGCUCCAAGACAGUUUGCAUGCUGACCUUUCCUCUUACCCCAGGCCCCAAGUGUAAAGGACUGGAACAGAAGAGCAGAGCUUGGCAGUUACAUUUUAUAUUUAGGAUCUUGUCUCUCAGAUCCACCCCUUUUAUUUUUGGAAUGUGAGCAUUUUCUUUAGCUGCUAAAUCAUGAGAAAAUACAGCUGCUGAGAUUUUUCCUAGGAUUAAAAAAAAGAUUAGGCAUUGUUGAAGUGAAGAAAAAUUGCUCUGAGAACCACAGGUAGGUAAUUUGCCCCCUGUUGUAUGGAAAGCCCCUGCACCUCUGUCCAUUGUUUUAUACUUCUGUAAAUCUGAUUUUAACUUUAAUAAAG